rnacentral:rRNA from 1 species
GACAGAGGGUGCAAACGUUGUUCGGAAUUACUGGGCGUAAAGCGCGUGUAGGCGGUCUUGUAAGUCGGAUGUGAAAGCCCUGGGCUCAACCCAGGAAGUGCACUCGAUACUGCGAGGCUAGAGUAUCGGAGAGGUUGGUGGAAUUCUCGGUGUAGAGGUGAAAUUCGUAGAUAUCGAGAGGAACACCGGUGGCGAAGGCGGCCAACUGGACGAAUACUGACGCUGAGACUCGAAAGCGUGGGGAGCAAACAGG